UACGUAGGAGGCGAGCGUUGUCCGGAAUUACUGGGCGUAAAGCGCACGUAGGCGGCUUUUUAAGUCAGAGGUGAAAUCCCGGGGCUCAAUCCCGGAACUGCCUUUGAAACUGGAGAGCUAGAAUCUUGGAGAGGCGAGUGGAAUUCCGAGUGUAGAGGUGAAAUUCGUAGAUAUUCGGAAGAACACCAGUGGCGAAGGCGACUCGCUGGACAAGUAUUGACGCUGAGGUGCGAAAGCGUGGGGAGCAAACAGG
rnacentral:rRNA from 1 species